CUCUUAAUGAAGAGGUUAAGGUAUUUUAAAGAUAUUUUUUCAUUUUGUGUUUCUAGGGGUAACAGGGAUUUAUAAACUUUUUGGAGAUCUCUGUGAUUUGUAGACGUUUCUUAUUUAAAAUAAUUAUUUUAAAACUCAACGUUACUAUUUCCUCUAUGGAAAUUAUCUAUUUUAUCGUUAGAGCGUUUCCUCAAACCUUGGAAAAAAAAAAUGCGCUCUCUUCAUCAGGAGAUGGCGCUGUGCGGUGUGGUUUGGAAACCAGUACCAGAACCACCUGUCUGUCUUGGGAGCCACAUGUUGGAGAAAGUACAAACAUCUUCCUCAAGAGUGGACUUCUGUUCAGCAGUGGGUUCUCUGUAUACUUCCAAAGUCAGAAAAAGGAUGAUGAGCAAAUGUGCUAAUAAAGGUUGAGAUGCCCCCCAGCUUUGCAACCCUAUCUAUUACUGUGAUUGCUAAUUUGAAGUGCAUUGUGGAGUGAGGAAGAAGCUGUUGAAAAGCAUUGAGUGCAGUCCUGUAUUUCUGAUCCAACAGUUUGGAGCAGAUUGACAGAAGUCAAAGAAAAUGAUAUAGAGGCACACUGUCUUAAUUAAAUAUAAGCCUUUACUUGCUGUUGUGACAGAAGCUUUACUACAUCAAACUUCAAAAAUUGCUUUAGUAGUAAUGGAAGAAAUCAUGGUUUGAAGUCAAAAAGGAAUGCCGUUCACAUUCAUAUUUUACAUACUGUUUACAUUUAAUACUAUUGCCUGUGACAGUAGAGCAUUCAGGUCUGAACCACAGAAGCAAAGUUCCUCUGUAGAGGGUAUUGUGGUGGUAGAAGAAAAAUGCAUGUCAGGCUUAAACAUCUUAUUUUAACUCUGGAUAGUAGUGAGAUGACUUGGUUGUAAUAAAUCCUGUGUUUUAAGUACUCUGGUUAUUGUU
rnacentral:lncRNA from 1 species